GCCUACGGCCAUACCACCCUGAAAGCGUCUGAUCUCGUCUGAUCUCGGAAGCUAGCAGGGACGGGCUUGGUUAGUACCUGGAUGGGAGACCGCCUGGGAAUACCAGGUGAUGUUGGCU
rnacentral:rRNA from 1 species